rnacentral:rRNA from 1 species
GAUAAACGCUGGCGGCGUGCUUAACACAUGCAAGUCGAACGAAGUUUUUCUUUCGGGAGGAACUUAGUGGCGGACGGGUGAGUAACGCGUGGGUAACCUGCCCUGUACAGGGGGAUAACAGCUGGAAACGGCUGCUAAUACCGCAUAAGCCCUUAGCACUGCAUGGUGCAUAGGGAAAAGGAGCAAUCCGGUACAGGAUGGACCCGCGUCUGAUUAGCCAGUUGGCAGGGUAACGGCCUACCAAAGCGACGAUCAGUAGCCGAUCUGAGAGGAUGUACGGCCACAUUGGGACUGAGACACGGCCCAGACUCCUACGGGAGGCAGCAGUGGGGAAUAUUGCACAAUGGAGGAAACUCUGAUGCAGCGACGCCGCGUGAGUGAAGAAGUAUUUCGGUAUGUAAAGCUCUAUCAGCAGGAAAGAAAAUGACGGUACCUGACUAAGAAGCACCGGCUAAAUACGUG